GCGGUUGUAGCUCAGUCGGGUAAGCGCUGGCCUCUCACGCCAGAGAUGCGGGUUCGGAUCCUGUCGCUUACG
rnacentral:tRNA from 1 species